rnacentral:rRNA from 1 species
UCGGGAAUUUUGGGCAAUGGGCGAAAGCCUGACCCAGCAACGCCGCGUGAGGGAUGAAGUAUUUCGGUAUGUAAACCUCGAAAGAAUGGGAAGAAUAAAUGACGGUACCAUUUAUAAGCUCCGGCUAACUACGUGCCAGCAGCCGCGGUAAUACGUAGGGAGCAAGCGUUGUUCGGAUUUACUGGGCGUAAAGGGCGCGUAGGCGGCGCGGUAAGUCACUUGUGAAAUCUCUGAGCUUAACUCAGAACGGCCAAGUGAUACUGCUGUGCUAGAGUGCGGAAGAGGCAACCGGAAUUCUUGGUGUAGCGGUGAAAUGCGUAGAUAUCAAGAGGAACACCUGGGGCGAAGGCGGGUUGCUGGGCCGACACUGACGCUGAUGCGCGAAAGCCAGGGGAGCAAA